GACGAACGCUGGCGGCGUGCUUAACACAUGCAAGUCGAACGGAAAGGCCUGCUUUCCCUUGUGGAUUGCGGGUACUCGAGUGGCGAACGGGUGAGUAACACGUGAGUGAUCUGCCCCCAACUUGGGUAUAAGCCUGGGAAACUGGGUCUAAUUCCCGAUAGGACUGCAGGGUGGUGCCUGUGGUGGAAAACGAUUUUCUAGUGGUUGGGGAUGAGCUCGCGGCCUAUCAGCUUGUUGGUGGGGUAAUGGCCUACCAAGGCGGCGACGGGUAGCCGGCCUGAGAGGGUGGACAGCCACAUUGGGACUGAGAUACGGCCCAGACUCCUACGGGAGGCAGCAGUGGGGAAUAUUACACAAUGGGCGGAAGCCUGAUGCAGCGACGCCGCGUGGGGGAUGACGGCCUUCGGGUUGUAAACUCCUUUCGACCGCGAGGAAGCCACCUGGUUGGAAGGGUGGUGACGGUAGUGGUAGAAGAAGCACCGGCUAACUACGUG
rnacentral:rRNA from 1 species